rnacentral:rRNA from 1 species
UACGUAGGCAGCGAGCGUUGUUCGGAGUUACUGGGCGUAAAGAGUGCGUAGGCGGUUUUCUAAGUUUGGUGUGAAAUCUCCCGGCUCAACUGGGAGGGUGCGCUGAAAACUGGGGUGCUCGAGGGUGGGAGAGGUAAGCGGAAUUCCUGGUGUAGCGGUGAAAUGCGCAGAUAUCAGGAGGAACGCCGGUGGCGAAGGCGGGUCUCUGGGCCGAUACUGACGCUGAGGCACGAAAGCGUGGGGAGCAAACAGG